GAACAUCUUCCUCUGUGUUUUGUCCUGUUUUCCAAUACAAAUGUGUAAACACUUAAUUCAAGAUACAUGGAGAUGCAACAUAAGGAGAUAAAAUCUUUUAUUUUGGAUGCGAUUAAUUGCUCUUAAUCGUUUGACAGCACUAUUAAAUUAUUACAUUGUUAUAAGUGGCGUCCUCUAGUGGUGCUGAGUGAAAUCAGUAAUCAUUCCUUCCUAUGUUUAUUUUUCAGUGUACAGCAGGAACGACGAGUCUCGUGCCGUAAAUGUUUCUCUGUUAUAAGCUAAUUUGUGUUUAUUUUGAGAAAAGGUAGGCAAGUAUGUGUCAAGUGCAAAUAUGCAAAUGAAGAUUUUCUCUUAAACUAAAAUUACUCCUAAUUAAGAAUUCACUCGAAAUCAAAUUACAGCUUAAUUCAGUCAACUUUGACUACUACAUAUAUGAUAUUUUUAUGCCUGCCUUAUUUUUUUUAUUUUUUUUGUAAUUUUUUUACAGCAAUUUUUACUCCUUUAAGUUUAUUAUGUGGAUUAAAAAUUAUGACAAUUUAAAUAAUGCAGUUAUUAUAAUUUUCACAUUACAGUAGUCCUCUGACUCUACUAAUGUAAUGUUUUUGUUCUUUCUUUGUAUUUAGAGGUGAACUGCAGUAUGACCCAAACACGUUCGUUUGUAAUUUACUACGAGAGCUGCUUUACUCAUCCACUGCUGACAGUUCAUGCCAACUCUAAAGAGGUGAAGGGCGAGGCGAGCAUAUUUCCAUCACCGUAUUAAGAGUAAAUACUGGCAGACGUAUGUGUGGAACGACAUGAGAGUCCUGUCUGAUCGCAGCUGAAGGUGUGUUUCAGACUUUGCUGACACUAAAAGUCAAGUGCACUGACAAAGUUGUAGGCGGCUGAUAGGUUUCUGAGCUUUAAAUGACGAGACCUCCGCCAUAAACCAUCAGUCAGCCCACCCUCUGCUGAGGAACACAUACUUUCACAACACACACAUCGCCCUCACUGUGUGCUGAUGAUUUUUUAUUGUUGAUGUUAAUACACACUUUCACCUCUGGCACACAUUAGACAGCGCUGCAUUCUUCAAACAAUGCUAUUUGCUGCUAAUAAAUGUCUUUGUUACGGGCGGAUGCUCAGAUGACAGACGCUGACAGCUGGAUAAUCAUCAACAUCCACUCAGACAAUGAAAAUAUGCAGUUCUCUAAAAAUAUUUUUAAUGGUUAAAAGAAUGUCGCCAUGUUAAUGGAUACCAAAAUUCCAAUACAGUUUCACUAUUCUUUUAAUUUUAAACCAAUUUGAGUUGGUAAUUGAUACCAAUUUUUUAUUUUUUUAUUUUUUACAGUCUCUAGACACAAAGAUGAAUGUUUGAUUAUGUUUAUAUAUAAGAAUUUGAAAGGUUUUUUUACAG
rnacentral:lncRNA from 1 species